GAAGGAGGAACUGUUUGCUAUUUAUACUUAUCUCUUGAAUUCUCGUCGACAUUCCAUAGAAGACCAUUUAAUCAGUGCAGUUUUGCUAAUAGAUAGUAGAUGAUGUUUCUGAAAGCAGAAAAUGCUUUCAUUUCUCAAAAAAACUUGUGCCAUGGGUUGACCAUAUCUUGGACUUGUGUCUGGUGCAACAUGUCAGCCAUUUACAUUUAUACAUACGUAUGUUUUAUUACCUUUCUUGCCUAUAGACUUGGAAUAGCAAUGCCAGUUUGAACAUCUAUGCAUCUAUCUAAAUAGUGUACUCGCAGAAGAUAGAUUUACUACAUAAGGUCUCCUCUUUUAAAUCAUGCCUUAUAUAAGUUAUGCAAUAAUGUGAUUAGUUGGUGUUAAACGAACCAAUAUAUCAUCAUCAUCAUCAUGCUAUAAUGAUUAAGUUGGACGACUUAAUUAUUUGUAUGGAUCUCUUCUUGGUGAGUUUUCAAUCGUUUAAUAGAAUUGGUGGUCAUGUAUCAAUAUGUUUUCUACCUCUUAGAGUAAAUAUGGGUAAUAGUGUUUUUUGACAGGAACAUUGAUAUACUCGUUUACUAGGGGAAACUCAAAUGGUAACAACACAAGCCUAGACAUACUGUAAAUAACCUUGGGGUUGUAGGUAGACGCUUCAAAUUUGGUAAUGUCAGGUCUCUGUUGAACCUGUGUAAAAAAAGAGACUAGCAACAGAUUGUUCACUGUCUGUAAAAUGUGGUUCACCCAGAUAUUAAGUUCUGAAAUUGCCAAGAUAUGCCCGAGACACGGCAUUAGAUGUUGCAACUGCAUGUUUCAUGUUGCCUCGAUAGUCAAUACUCAUCUACUGAUUUGUAUACAAGUAGCUAGAUACGUGUUGUUGUCAUUCAGCAUUUGAUCUGUUUUCUUCUUCUUUUUUACCAAUGCUAUUGCAAUGUUUGCCAUGUUCAGUACGCGGUUGCAAUGUUUGCCAUGUUCAGUACGCGGUUGCAAUGUUUGCCAUGCUCUGAAAAGACUGUCAUUGUUCUGCUCUUUCCUGUGAUGCGACAUUCUUUGCAUCAGUCUUAGAGGUUUGUAUAAAUCAUUUUGCAUGUUCCGUUGCAUGUGUGAAAUGUUUCUUUUUAUGUAAAAUUCAUAAUGUAUUGUAAUCUGCCUGACUCAGUUUAUUCUGCUAGCAUUACAUCCCUCUUACAGGAGCUUUGCUUUAUAUGUAUAUAUAUCAGUUGUACUAACAUCCCAAUCUGUUGCUAUGCGCUAGGUUGACGGUCCGGCCGGAUGUUUCAUCAGUCAUCAACGCCUUGAGUAGGAUCCUUUUCUUCUCCGCAGUUGGGAAACACUUUUUUGUCAUGGUAUUGUAGUUUAGAUUCCAGAAGACUAAAUGUAGACAAGAAUUAAGGCACCGAAUGUGGAGGCUUUGGCACCCCGAAGAAGUGAAAUAGGGAAUGAUGUUCAAGAGCUGGUCUGAAGGAUAGUGUCGCAACAAGUAGGAUUCUAUGAUGCAACUUAGCUGCCGAGUCGGUAUCAGGGUCAAUGAUGCCUAACAUUGAACGGUUCAGGGCCCGUUUGCUGUGUGAACCUGUUUUUGAUACACAAUCUUGUGAGUUUCAAGUGUUUCGACAUGAGCUCUCUUCGGUUGACAUGUGUUUGACUCUUCGGUUGACACGUGCUUGAAUCGACUCUUCGGUUGACACGUGUUUGAAUAGAUAUGCGUAGGAGAGCAUGACGCAUGUUUGCUAUCUUUUCUUUUUUCUAACUUCUUUGAGAUUUUAGC
rnacentral:lncRNA from 1 species